rnacentral:misc_RNA from 1 species
AACGCACGAGACCUGCGGACCUGCGGAAGGAUCAUUAAAGAGUUGCAAGACUCCCAAACCAUUGUGAACGUUACCCACACCGUUGCUUCGGCGGGCGGCCCGGGCCCUGCCCGGCGCCCCCCGGCCCCUCGCGGGCGCCCGCCGGAGGUAAACCAAACUCUUGAAUUGUAUGGCCUCUCUGAGUCUUCUGUACUGAAUAAGUCAAAACUUUUAACAAUGGAUCUCUAGAUCGGAAGAGCA